GUACCUGCGAUACCAAGUCGGCAAGACCCCACCAACACUGCUUAUUAAUCGCUUAAAAGCUUGUGAAUGCAUUCUCUUGAAGAAACAAAGCAUGUAGAUACCCUAUGCAAUAAGCUUUUAAGCGACCAUUGGUUCUAGCAAGAAAGGAAAACUAAAGGUCAACAGCCGAUAACAAGGAGGCGUCGUGAGUCUCGUGACAUUUACGCCAUUCUUACUUGCUUCAACAACGGAUAAUGACCGCUUUUGCGGUAUGUUUCUUCACAAUCUUUUGAUCCGGAUGGUGAUACAACAAGUUUAGUUGUCCUGCAACUGCGCACAUCUAUUUCAAACAGCCAAGGAAGAUCUUCGUUGGUCCACUUAAUGACUCCUCUGCACGGCACCCCAACUUUAGUGGAACAUUGUACAAGUUUGGAUGUAGCAUCACUAUCAUGAUGCCGGUGAGGAAUUAUCUCCUUUGCCGACUUCGAUUGAGCCACGGCGAAUGCUGCGGAAAAGAUUACAAGUAUACUUCUAAAGAAAGGACUUUUUUACGGUAAGGUGUAAGAAUCAGCAGGCCGAAUGGAACAUCCUGGCAGCUGGGCUGAGGCCCAGAUGACAUCCGUUUACAGUAGCAGGAACCACUAGACUGUCUAGACAUGACUGGAGUAUAUCCUGAGCAGCUGGUUUAAGGCCAAACCACAUCCGUUGCGAGUGGGGAUUAUUAAUCGUGGUUGGCACUUCGCAAACGAGUGGCUAUCGGCAUUUGCACCAGCAUUUGCUUCGCCGAAUAAACAAGCACUCGAAAUCAGCAGGAUAAGAAAUUGUCCCAGCUCACGUUAGACGUUUUAUGCACAUUAAGCAUUGGUGGACUGGCAUUCCGACCCAAACGAACACUACAAUACUUACACUAUAAUAAAAUACAGUACAGUAUUCAUACUGCGCUUACACUAUAAUAAAAUAAUUUCUAUCGCGACAAUGAUGGUAUUAAUUAUUAACAUAAGGAAAUGAAGCGGUAUUAAAAUUGCACAAAAGGCAAACUCAGUGAGCGACACUUAAAUCAACACACCCGAGUAAGCGGGAAGCCAGCAUUACAUCAUUGUCUUUAAGAAGAGCAACGACGAAGAAACCGUUGGUUCAGUAGUCUUCCCAGACGAAGAUGGCUUUGAUCAUGCGCAGAAACCAAGCCCAGGUGCUUUUCCACGUCUCGUAGUCGUACCAGCCCAUCAGGACGGCGAAGAGGAAGAGCAGCCCGGCCACUGCCGGCACGCCGUAUUGGCAUGCGUACCGCCACGAUUGGGGCGCUUUGACGUAUUUGUACGCCUUCCGUUCGUACUCCUCAAUCACCGCCGGCUGACCUACAAAAAGAUAACUAAACUGCACACAAACUGCAAUUUUGACGUAAGUACCAGGUAAUUCAGAUAUUAUGCACAAUAUAAAUAUGUUGCCUAUUGGCUAUUGUGUACUACUCUGUACAUUAUUCACCACCGGGAUUGUUACCGGUGCAGCUAUUCGGCAUUAAAAUCUGAUAUCUAUAUCUUAUUUUACAAGGAUAUACAACUGUAAAUUACACCGGAAAAGAAAUAGUUUCAUGCGAAAAGCAG